GUGGCGGAGUAGUGUCUGGAAGGGGCAUGGGAACCUGCUGUCUGGAUUUCCUGACAUAUACAUAUCCUGGUUUAUAACGUUCUAUAGAUUCAGGCAUAAUGGAAAAAUUAGGAAGAGUAACAACAUCAUCCAAGGCAGAAGAAACACGAUGAAACAUAAAUUGAUCCUCAAAAAAUGUCACAUUACGAGAAAUGCGGAAGCGACAAUUAGAUACAUCAAAACACACAAAACCCUUAUGAGAGUG
rnacentral:lncRNA from 1 species